rnacentral:rRNA from 1 species
UACGUAGGUGGCAAGCGUUGUCCGGAUUUACUGGGCGUAAAGAGCGCGCAGGCGGCUUGGUAAGUCGGAUGUGAAAACCCGAGGCUCAACCUCGGGCGUGCAUCCGAAACUGCUCGGCUAGAGGUAGGUAGGGGAGAUCGGAAUUCCUGGUGUAGCGGUGAAAUGCGCAGAUAUCAGGAGGAACACCGGUGGCGAAGGCGGGUCUCUGGGCCGAUACUGACGCUGAGGAGCGAAAGCGUGGGGAGCAAACAGG